rnacentral:misc_RNA from 1 species
GAUGAAGAACGUAGUAAAAUGCGAUAAGUAAUGUGAAUUGCAGAAUUCAGUGAAUCAUCGAAUCUUUGAACGCACAUUGCGCCCGCUGGUAUUCCGGCGGGCAUGCCUGUUCGAGCGUCAUUUCAACCCUCAAGCCCCCGGGUUUGGUGUUGGGGAUCGGCUCUGCCUUCUGGCGGUGCCGCCCCCGAAAUACAUUGGCGGUCUCGCUGCAGCCUCCAUUGCGUAGUAGCUAACACCUCGCAACUGGAACGCGGCGCGGCCAUGCCGUAAAACCCCAACUUCUGAAUGUUGACCUCGGAUCAGGUAGGAAUACCCGCUGAACUUAAGCAUAUCAUAAGCGGAGGA